GACGAACGCUGGCGGCGUGCUUAACACAUGCAAGUCGAACGAUGAAAGCGGGAGCUUGCUCCUGUGGAUCAGUGGCGAACGGGUGAGUAACACGUGAGCAAUCUGCCCUGGACUCUGGGAUAAGCGUUGGAAACGACGUCUAAUACCGGAUACGAGGCGUGGGGGCAUCCCCAACGCCUGGAAAGAACUUCGGUCCAGGAUGAGCUCGCGGCCUAUCAGGUAGUUGGUGAGGUAACGGCUCACCAAGCCGACGACGGGUAGCCGGCCUGAGAGGGUGACCGGCCACACUGGGACUGAGACACGGCCCAGACUCCUACGGGAGGCAGCAGUGGGGAAUAUUGCACAAUGGGCGCAAGCCUGAUGCAGCAACGCCGCGUGAGGGACGACGGCCUUCGGGUUGUAAACCUCUUUUAGCAGGGAAGAAGCGCGAGUGACGGUACCUGCAGAAAAAGCACCGGCUAACUACGUGCCAGCAGCCGCCGUAAAAC
rnacentral:rRNA from 1 species